GGCACAGUCAGUCAGUCAGUGUCAAUCUGCAAGUGUCAGCUCAGAACGUGCCAAGAAAACCUAAUCAGCUGCCUGCAUUCCUCAGAAGCUGUUGCUGUCUCCGAGCUCAUAAUGACACAUUUAAGAGCAAAGCCAUGCUGUGAAGCCUUAUUAAAAUCUUUAUAAAUGCAGAUGACAAGUAAAGAGACGGUUUGAUUUAUCAGACAGCUGAAACACUCUGAGCAAUGGGUAUUUACUUAAACAGAUAACAUUUAAUGAAAGACGCGUAUGGAAAUAUUAAUGUGAUUUAUGAGGACUUGGAUAUCGUUUUUUGUAUAUCUGGCCAUCAUUCAUAUUAGAAAUGGACUCAUGAAGAUUUUCAGAUGAGAUGUUUCGAGUUCUUGGCAGGCUGGGUUUUCUUGGAUACUCUUUGAAACUGUUUGGAGUUGAAAACCUGGAUUUCCUGCUUGGCCUAGGAGGUGGCAAGCUGCCCAAGGACCCGAUCAUCCCAUUUACUAGAGAAGGAAGCCACCUAUCUCCCUCACAGAUGAGAGCCAGGCAGCCCCCACGUCCAGUGUGAAGUCCGUUUUCUGCAUGAAAGUGGUGCAAAUGAAGCUUCUAAACGUGGUAGUGAAAAGGACUGGCUUGUUCUGUUGGUGCUGUCAGGGUCCGUGGGAGCAGCUGUGGGAGGCAUCAUCAGGACAGUUCGUCGGCUACUCUAUCGAGCGGCGCUACAUGCCUCACACCUGAGCCUGAUUUCACGACUAACCACGGGGAGACUAUUUAAGCCAACAUGACCGGCUACUUGUCGCCAGUUCGUUCAGUCACCCACUGUGGCCUUGGUGUCAUCACGUUCUGGAUUCUCUGCAGCCAUUCACCAUUGCCGUUUACUCGUUAAGGAAAUCAUCCAAUAUCUAAAAGCCACUAAAGGCUCAACCUGCUUCUGUCGACACAAGCAAAGGGCACAAGCAGUUCUUUGAAAAGAAGGACUUGUCCCCAUUUAUAGAAAGAAAAAAGAUUUUGGACCUGUACCAAGCUACCUGAGUAAAUGAAAUGAAGAGAAAGAAAGGGUGACGCAGGGCGUGGCUGAGGGCGAGGCUAACAUUAUUCAGCCACUGCCAGAGGAGGAGAAAGAAAUGAUUCUCCAGGACCUAAAGGAGAUUAAUUGAUUUACACUUUGAGUAUCAAUCCCUCCCUUUUUUCAUAUCUCCUUCUCAGCACUGUAAAAACAAUUAUAAAAAGUGGCUCGAAGAGGCAAUGAGUCAGGUUGAGAAAGACAUUGCCCUCUUUGAAGAACAUAAACAUAUCUAUGUAGGCAGGAAAAUUGCACCUGACCAAGAUGAGAAAAUCCAGUCCAUUUCAAAGAUCGUUAGACGAAUGUACGAAAAACCCAACUACCAGACCUUUUCACAUGAUUCGUGUCCCACCGAGACCCAGAAAGGCAAACCAACCUUCUCCAGCCCAACCAGCUGUAAUUACACAACAUGGUCUCGUCCCUCUGCCGCCCGAUUGUAAAAAAGUUGAAUAUACACCUCGAGCACCUUUAAGAACUCCAAGGAAACCGAAUGUCACACGCACCAAUCAAUUGCAUCUGAUCUCCCUUCCACCCAUUUCCAUCAAAAAGCUUUAGUGCUGUACCUUUAGACUAGUUUUUUUCCCACCUCACCCCAAACCGGUCUUGACAGAAGCCGCCCCUACCUGAGCCUGUUUCUGUCGUCUGUUAGAUGACAACAGUCACAGCGGACUCUGCUGCCACCUAUUACACUGAAAGUACAUCAGAUGCCCCCAAGGCCAAUUUAUGUUUAAGAAAAAAAAAUCACAGCAGAAAAGACAGCAUGCGAGACAUCUGAUAUGUUUUAUUGCUUUUUAAAAAUCAUUUAAUCUGGAACAAAUAAAAAAA